UACAGAGGUCUCAAGCGUUGUUCGGAUUCAUUGGGCGUAAAGGGUGCGUAGGCGGGUCUUUAAGUCAGGGGUGAAAUCCUGGAGCUCAACUCCAGAACUGCCUUUGAUACUGAAGAUCUUGAGUUCGGGAGAGGUGAGUGGAACUGCGAGUGUAGAGGUGAAAUUCGUAGAUAUUCGCAAGAACACCAGUGGCGAAGGCGGCUCACUGGCCCGAUACUGACGCUGAGGCACGAAAGCGUGGGGAGCAAACAGGG
rnacentral:rRNA from 1 species